rnacentral:rRNA from 1 species
AACGAACGCUGGCGGCAGGCCUAACACAUGCAAGUCGAGCGGACCCUUCGGGGUUAGCGGCGGACGGGUGAGUAACGCGUGGGAACGUGCCCUUUGCUUCGGAAUAGCCCUGGGAAACUGGGAGUAAUACCGGAUACGCCCUUUUGGGGAAAGAUUUAUCGGCGAAGGAUCGGCCCGCGUUGGAUUAGGUAGUUGGUGGGGUAAUGGCCUACCAAGCCGACGAUCCAUAGCUGGUUUGAGAGGAUGAUCAGCCACACUGGGACUGAGACACGGCUCAGACUCCUACGGGAGGCAGCAGUGGGGAAUCUUAGACAAUGGGGGAAACCCUGAUCUAGCCAUGCCGCGUGAGCGAUGAAGGCCUUAGGGUUGUAAAGCUCUUUCACCGGGGAAGAUAAUGACGGUACCCGGAGAAGAAGCCCCGGCUAACUCCGUG